rnacentral:rRNA from 1 species
GAUGAACGCUGGCGGCAUGCUUUACACAUGCAAGUCGUACGAGAGUUUUUAACUCAAGUGGCGGACGGGUGAGUAACACGUAAGAAUUUACCUUUAGGAGGGGGAUAACAACUGGAAACGGUUGCUAAUACCCCAUAUGCUUUCGAGUGAAAUGGAUUUUUCCGCCUAGAGAGAAGCUUGCGGCUGAUUAGCUUGUUGGUGAGGUAAUGGCUCACCAAGGCGACGAUCAGUAUCUGGUUUGAGAGGACGAUCAGACACACUGGAACUGAGACACGGUCCAGACUCCUACGGGAGGCAGCAGUGGGGAAUUUUCCGCAAUGGGCGAAAGCCUGACGGAGCAAUACCGCGUGAGGGAUGACGGCCUAUGGGUUGUAAACCUCUUUUUUCAGGGAGGAAUCAAUGACGUGUACCUGAAGAAUAAGCAUCGGCUAACUCCGUGCCAGCAGCCGCGGUAAGACGGAGGAUGCAAGUGUUAUCCGGAAUCACUGGGCGUAAAGCGU